rnacentral:rRNA from 1 species
GUGGGGAAUAUUGCACAAUGGGCGAAAGCCUGAUGCAGCGACGCCGCGUGAGGGAUGACGGCCUUCGGGUUGUAAACCUCUUUCAGUAGGGAAGAAGCGAAAGUGACGGUACCUGCAGAAGAAGCGCCGGCUAACUACGUGCCAGCAGCCGCGGUAAUACGUAGGGCGCGAGCGUUGUCCGGAAUUAUUGGGCGUAAAGAGCUCGUAGGUGGUUCGUCGCGUCUGGUGUGAAAACUCACGGCUCAACCGGGAGCGUGCAUCGGGUACGGGCAGACUAGAGUGCGGUAGGGGAGACUGGAAUUCCUGGUGUAGCGGUGGAAUGCGCAGAUAUCAGGAGGAACACCGAUGGCGAAGGCAGGUCUCUGGGCCGCAACUGACGCUGAGGAGCGAAAGCAUGGGGAGCGAACAGGAUUAGAUACCCGGGUAGUCC